GUACCGCCACAGGCCCUGGUGCGCAAAGGCCCCCGACAGCCGGUACUGCAUCCAGUGGUCCGUGGCCGUGGCCACCACCAGGAGGAUGGUCCCCACCCAGGCACAGAAGAGGCCACCGCCCAUGAAGCUGUACAUGGGCGCUCCACCACUGAGCUGCAACACAAGCCCUUUAAUUUGUAAAUAUAAGGGGGGGGCAUAAAAAGAACUGAAAUGUGUUACUUACAUGUACCAACUUUCUCGGGUGAAUACACUCAUAUGGUAAUACAAAUUUAAAAAGUAAGAGUACUGAAAAACUUUCAACAUUUGUAAGCAGAGCUGUGAUGUAAUCUGACUUAUGUCUUAAGAGCGCUUUGCCUACACUUUGGCGAGUGGCUUGUGCAAGGCAAGAGCAGGAAGCAGAAGGCCAAGGCAAGAAGACGCUGGUGUCCUCCCGAGCGGUGCGGUGGUGGCUGCCUGGAGGUUUGGGAGAUGGGGCUGCACUGGAGAGUCCAGGAAGAAGGGCAUCGGCUUCUGCUGGACCGCUGGGGGUGGGCAAGAGAGAUCAAGGAGGAUGCCAUCUUCAUUCUCAGCAGCACUAUUCUUACAAGAUCAGAGCAUCCCAUAUGAACAGUGAGCAGUCCUGGGUAUUGCGACAGACUUGUGCUGGGUUUAAGGGUUUUUUUUUUUAUCACGAGGCUCGGCUUUCUCUUUCUUUUCCUUCUUUUCUUUUUGAAACAGAGUCUCGCUAUGCGGUUAGGCUGCCCUUGGCGUUCACUUUGUAGCCCAGGCUGGUCUCGAACUUGCAACAAUCCUCUUACCUCAGCAUCCUGAGCGCUGGGAUUACAGGAGUGCGCCACCA